rnacentral:rRNA from 1 species
AAAAGCUUUCUUUAAUUGAAUAAUUGAAUUUAAUUUUUUAGUGCAAAAGCAAAAAUAAAAAUUAGGGACAAGAAGACCCUAUGAAUUUUUUAUUAAAUUUUAUAAAACUUUAUAUAAAAUUUAAUUUAAUUGGGGUGAUGGAAAAAGAAUAAAUAUCUUUUUUUUUAAAAAAAAAAUUGGUUCCGUUUUUAGCGAUUAAAUGAAAAAAAUACUCUAGGGAUAACAGCGUAAUAAUUUUGGAUAGUUCAUAUAGAUAAAAUAGUUUGCGACCUCGAUGUUGGAUUAGGAUUCUUUUUUGGUGAAGAAGUUAAAAAAAGAAGUUUGUUCAACUUAUAAUUUCCUACUUGAUCUGAGUUCAGACCGG